UUCGCAAUGCCCGAAAGGGUGACGAAGCGACGCCGCGUGCGGGAAGAAGGCCUUCGGGUCGUAAACCACUGUCGGGAGUUAAGAAAUGCAAGGGUGUUAAUAGCGCCCUUGCUUGACUAAGGCUCCGGAGGAAGCCACGGCUAACUCUGUGCCAGCAGCCGCGGUAAUACAGAGGCGGCAAGCGUUGUUCGGAAUUAUUGGGCGUAAAGAGCACGUAGGCGGCCGUGUAAGUCGGUUGUGAAAGCCUUCCGCUCAACGGGAGAACGGCAUCCGAUACUGCAUGGCUCGAGUGCGGGAGGGGAGAGUGGAACUUCUGGUGGAGCGGUGAAAUGCGUAGAUAUCAGAAGGAACACCGGCGGCGAAGGCGACUCUCUGGCCCGUAACUGACGCUGAGUGUGCGAAAGCUAGGGGAGCAAACGGGAUUAGAUACCCCGGUAGUCCUAGCCGUAAACGAUGGGCACUAAGUAGAGGGGUUUU
rnacentral:rRNA from 1 species